GAUGAACGCUGGCGGCGUGCCUAACACAUGCAAGUCGAGCGGCAGCGAGGGGUGCUUGCACCCUGUCGGCGAGCGGCGGACGGCUGAGUAACGCGUGGGAACGUGCCCCAAAGUGAGGAAUAACUGCCCGAAAGGGUAGCUAAUACCGCAUAUUAUCUUCGGAUCAAAGGAUUUAUCCGCUUUGGGAGCGGCUCGCGUCGGAUUAGGUAGUUGGUGAGGUAAUGGCUCACCAAGCCGACGAUCCGUAGCUGGUCUGAGAGGAUGACCAGCCAGACUGGAACUGAGACACGGUCCAGACUCCUACGGGAGGCAGCAGUGAGGAAUCUUCCACAAUGGGCGAAAGCCUGAUGGAGCAACGCCGCGUGCAGGACGAAGGCCUUCGGGUUGUAAACUGCUUUUAUAAGUGAGGAAUAUGACGGCAACUUAUGAAUAAGGAUCGGCUAACUACGUG
rnacentral:rRNA from 1 species